rnacentral:rRNA from 1 species
AGAGUUUGAUCCUGGCUCAGAACGAACGCUGGCGGCGUGGAUAAGACAUGCAAGUCGGACGGGAUUUUUCGUUGUAGCAAUACGAUGGAAAGUCUAGUGGCGAACGGGUGCUUAACACGUGGGCAACCUGCCGGGAAGUGGGGGAUAGCUCGCCGAAAGGCGAAUUAAUACCGCAUGUGAUUAGAGAGGACAUCCUUUCGAAAUUAAAGUCGGGGCAACCUGACGCUUCUUGUGGGGCCCGCGGCCUAUCAGCUAGUUGGUGAGGUAAUGGCUCACCAAGGCUUUGACGGGUAGCUGGUCUGAGAGGACGACCAGCCACACUGGGACUGAGACACGGCCCAGACACCUACGGGUGGCAGCAGUCGAGAAUUUUUGACAAUGGGGGAAACCCUGAUCGAGCGACGCCGCGUGGAGGAUGAAGGUCUUCGGAUUGUAAACUCCUGUCAUUGGGGAACAAGGUGCAUACGUUAACUGCGUGUGCAUUGAUAGUACCCGAAGAGGAAGAGACGGCUAACUCUGUGCCAGCAGCCGCGGUAAUACAGAGGUCUCAAGCGUUGUUCGGAUUCAUUGGGCGUAAAGGGUGCGUAGGCGGCGCGGUAAGUCGGGUGUGAAAUCUCGGAGCUUAACUCCGAAACUGCAUUCGAUACUGCCGUGCUUGAGGACUGGAGAGGAGACUGGAAUUUACGGUGUAGCGGUGAAAUGCGUAGAUAUCGUAAGGGAGACCAGUGGCGAAAGGCGGGUCUCUGGACAGUUCCUGACGCUGAGGCACGAAAGGUCAGGGGAGCAAACGGGAUUAGAUACCCCGGUAGUCCUGACAGUAAACGGUGCACGUUUGGUGUGGGAGGAUUCGACCCCUUCUGCGCCGGAGCUAACGCGUUAAACGUGCCGCCUGGGGAGUACGGUCGCAGAUUAAACUCAAAGAAAUUGACGGGGCCCGCACAGCGUGAGUAUGUGCUCAUUCGAUGCACGCGAGACCUUACCAGGCCUUGACA